rnacentral:lncRNA from 1 species
GUUCGAAUAUACUUAACUUUGAACGUUUAGCUUCACGAUCCUGUUGGUGUGGAGUAUUAGAGAGUUUAUGCUUCGCGUUAUACGUCAAACGGCAAACGCCAGGCAAAGAAAAUUUUUACGAUAUCAGAUAAAUAAAGAGCAAAUUAGCUUGCUGUUUUAAAACUGAAAUACAUAAUUAUUCUUUCGACACAAGAUAGAAAAUAUGAAACGAAAACGUUCAACAAAAAUUUUGGCAAGAAAAUUCAAACCUGCCGUUUGAAUUGCCGUUCCCGGAAACGUGAAGCUUAUUUAGCUAUUUAAGUAACUCUUUAUUCUUAUUCAUUUACGUGGGAGAGGCGGCGCACUGCAUGAUUGUGUUUAAGUGUUUUCCACAGUAUAAACUGAAUUUAUCAUGCGGUACCUCGAUCUACUUUCCAUUAUUCUUGAUUGGUUAGUGGAGCAGUGGAGAGGAUGGUGCGUUGUAAAUAUAUGUUGUGAAUUUCUCUGUGAACUUUUACUGUAUACUGUAGUUCAUGUAAAGUAAUUUAACAUCAUUUUGUAAAAAUGUUGGGGGUUUUUUUUUCAUAAUUUAAUCCAAAUUUUCACCGUAUUUUGCUGAAAAUAUGGCAAUUUCUAUUCGAAAUUUAUAUAAAAAAUUCGAUCAGAACGCAGGAAAUCGCAUUUCCGAGGUUCUAGAUUUCCAAAUUUUGCAAAGACAUGAGGAAUUAUGCAUCUCUCAGCUAAAACCAUGGAUCCGGCCCUGUUGUAAAGGCCUAAGAACAUAUUUAUUAUCCAAAUAUGUAGUAGAUAAACCAUAAUAAGUAGACAAUAACUGUAAAUAUAAAUAUAAUUAUUUUAACUUAUACUUUUUAGAUAACAUAGAGAUAAACUUUACUUUGUAAUCUAUAGCAGUUGAAGACAUGGGCUAACCGGGGGGGAAGCCCCCCAGUUUGUUGGGCAAACAGUCGGGCAAUAUUGGCUUAUUAUAAAAAUAAAUGGGACAAAUUCUGUGUAUUUUGUGGGAAAUUCUGUCAAUUUUGUAGAAAAUAUGCUAUGUAAUAGGAAUUUUUCGUAAUCAAUCCCCCCCCCCCGUCGACAACAAUUUUGGAAAGUUUCUCCGAAAAUUUUCUUUUGACAACUCGGACACAAUCCAAAAAAAUAGGGCAAAUCUCUUUCCGCCCCCAUAAUUUUUCAAUUCCCGUACGCCCAUGGUUGAAGAGCCACUCUGUGGAUACACCGUUAUUAAAUCAUUAUUAUAUGGAAUUCUUCAGGGGUAAAGUGUUUUGAGUUUGGAAUUCUUCAGGGGUAAAGGAUUUUGAGCUUGGAAUUCUUCAGGGGUAAAGUGUUUUGAGUUUGGAAUUCUUCAGGGUAACGUAUUUUGAGUUUGGAAUUCCUCAGGGGUAAAGUGUUUUGAGUUUGGAUUCUUCAGGGGUAACGUGUUUUGAGUUUGGAAUUCCUCAGGGGUAACGUGUUUUGAGCUUGGAAUUCUUCAGGGGUAAAGUGUUUUGAGUUUGGAAUUCCUCAGGGGUAAAGCGUUUUGAGUUUGGAAUUCUUCAGGGGUAACGUGUUUUGAGUUUGGAAUUCCUCAGGGGUAAAGUGUUUUGAGUUUGGAAUUCUUCAGGGGUAACGUGUUUUGAAUUUGGAAUUCUUCAGGGGUAAAGUGUUUUGAGUUUGGAAUUCUUCAGGGGUAACGUGUUUUGAGUUUGGAAUUCUUCAGGGGUAAAGUGUUUUGAGUUUGGAAUUCCUCAGGGGUAAAGUGUUUUGAGUUUGGAAUUCUUCAGGGGUAAAGUGUUUUGAGUUUGGAAUUCUUCAGGGGUAACGUGUUUUGAGUUUGGAAUUCUUCAGGGGUAAAGUGUUUUGAGUUUGGAAUUCCUCAGGGGUAAAGGAUUUUGAGCUUGGAAUUCUUCAGGGGUAAAGUGUUUUGAGUUUGGAAUUCUUCAGGGGUAACGUGUUUUGAGUUUGGAAUUCUUCAGGGGUAAAGUGUUUUGAGUUUGGAAUUCUUCAGGGGUAAAGGAUUCGAGCUUGGAAUUCUUCAGGGGUAAAGAGGUUUGAAAUUGAAAUUUUUCAGAGUUUGGAAUUCUUCAGGGGUAAAGUGUUUUGAGUUUGGAAUUCUUCAGGGGUAACGUGUUUCGAGUUUGGAAUUCUUCAGGGGUAAAGUGUUUUGAGUUUGGAAUUCUUCAGGGGUAAAGGAUUCGAGCUUGGAAUUCUUCAGGGGUAAAGAGGUGUGAGAUUGAAAUUUUUCAGAGUUUGGAAUUCUUCAGGGGUAAAGUGUUUUGAGCUUGGAAUUCUUCAGGGGUAAAGGAUUUUGAGCUUGGAAUUCUUCAGGGGUAUAACUAUGAAAAACAUGUAUCCUCGACAGGGGGGGUACGGAUAUUAAAUGGAAUAGCCCAUUCCUGGAUUGUGGCGAGAAGCAGUACUUGUUAUUACUUGAGAG